CCUACGGGAGGCAGCAGUGAGGAAUAUUGGUCAAUGGACGAGAGUCUGAACCAGCCAAGUAGCGUGAAGGAUGACUGCCCUAUGGGUUGUAAACUUCUUUUAUAUGGGAAUAAAAUGUUCCACGUGUGGGAUUUUGUAUGUACCAUAUGAAUAAGGAUCGGCUAACUCCGUGCCAGCAGCCGCGGUAAGACGGAGGGUCCGAGCGUUAUCCGGAUUUAUUGGGUGUAAAGGGAGCGUAGGUGGAUUGUUAAGUCAGUUGUGAAAGUUUGCGGCUCAACCGUAAAAUUGCAGUUGAAACUGGCAGUCUUGAGUACAGUAGAGGUGGGCGGAAUUCGUGGUGUAGCGGUGAAAUGCUUAGAUAUCACGAAGAACUCCGAUUGCGAAGGCAGUUCACUGGACUGCAACUGACACUGAGGCUCGAAAGUGUGGGUAUCAAACAGGAUUAGAUACCCCUGUAGUC
rnacentral:rRNA from 1 species